rnacentral:rRNA from 1 species
CUGGCUCAGGAUGAACGCUGGCGGCGUGCCUAAUACAUGCAAGUCGAGCGAACAGAUAAGGAGCUUGCUCCUUUGACGUUAGCGGCGGACGGGUGAGUAACACGUGGGUAACCUACCUAUAAGACUGGGAUAACUUCGGGAAACCGGAGCUAAUACCGGAUAACAUUUGGAACCGCAUGGUUCUAAAGUGAAAGAUGGUUUUGCUAUCACUUAUAGAUGGACCCGCGCCGUAUUAGCUAGUUGGUAAGGUAACGGCUUACCAAGGCAACGAUACGUAGCCGACCUGAGAGGGUGAUCGGCCACACUGGAACUGAGACACGGUCCAGACUCCUACGGGAGGCAGCAGUAGGGAAUCUUCCGCAAUGGGCGAAAGCCUGACGGAGCAACGCCGCGUGAGUGAUGAAGGGUUUCGGCUCGUAAAACUCUGUUAUUAGGGAAGAACAAACGUGUAAGUAACUGUGCACGUCUGAC